UAAGAGGCAGGCUCUGGAUUCCCAAUGGCAAGGCUGGGCGAGGGGUCUGGAGCCUCAGCCUUCCCAUGUGGACAGGGGGACAGGACUGCCCUCCCAUCUCCUAGGGCCACUGCAUCCGGCUCUCAUCAGCCAGCAGUCUGGUUUUCUUGCCCCACAGAAGGCAGCCUCUAAUUCCUUCUCUUGCCCCUGCAUAAGGGAAAAUGUCUUCUCUGCCCAGAGAUUUCCUCAAAGCCCUUCCAUGGAUGGAAAUUUCAGAUCCAUUUUAGCUCCUGGUGAGAGCUUUGGGGUCACCAUGCUGCUGACAUAAGAGAGGACUGAAGAAGGUGGGGGCUGCACACACCCAGGAGCCCCAGCCUUCACCCCAGGGCUCCCACAGUGCAGAGAUCUAGAAGGAGCCUGGAAUUUGGAGUCAGGUAAAACUGACCUUGAGACUUGGCUCCUGCAGCUGUGUGACCUUGGGAGAGCUGAGACAUAAACACCACCCCGUCUGACUGCACACAAGGUCCUGGAAGUUACCACCUGAGAGUGAGUGAGAAAGGCUGAAAAUGUAGUGAAUGAGACCAGUCACCUACUGUGAUGGACACCCAGCUGAGCAUGUGACUGAAGGCCCUCUCCCACCUGGAUGGCCGGGGCGUCCCUCACGGAGAGAGACUGGGGAGGGGGUAAUGCUGGGGAGAAGCCUGGCCGCCAGAAGGGGGUGAGCUGCACAGCCCCUCUAAAGAGGGGGGCCGGGCAAACACGGCGAUCUCACAGCAUCCUGGGCACAUGGCACCUGAGGAGGAGACCUGUCCUCGCAGGGAAGGUGAGGUCAUAAAUAUUCAACUAAACGACUGAAGCUCAGGGAUGCUGCAUGAGGGCUCAUUAUACCAUUCUCUCUACUUUUGUGUAGAUAUGACUUUUGCCAAAAUAAAAAGUGAAA